UUCACUUGAAGAUGGGCGUGCGUCUGAUUAGGUAGUUGGCGGGGUAACGGCCCACCAAGCCUACGAUCAGUAACUGGUGUGAGAGCACGACCAGUCACACGGGCACUGAGACACGGGCCCGACUCCUACGGGAGGCAGCAGUAAGGAAUAUUGGGCAAUGGACGCAAGUCUGACCCAGCCAUGCCGCGUGGAGGAAGAAGGCCCUACGGGUUGUAAACUUCUUUUCUGUUUGAAGAAUAAGCUCGUCGAGACGAGUGAUGCCGGUAGGACAGGAAUAAGCAUCGGCUAACUCCGUGCCAGCAGCCGCGGUAAUACGGAGGAUGCAAGCGUUAUCCGGAUUUAUUGGGUUUAAAGGGUGCGCAGGUGGUUUAAUAAGUCAGUGGUGAAAGUCUGGCGCUUAACGUUAGGAUUGCCAUUGAUACUGUUAGACUUGAAUAUGGAUGAGGUAGGCGGAAUGUGUAGUGUAGCGGUGAAAUGCUUAGAUAUUACACAGAACACCGAUUGCGAAGGCAGCUUACUAAUCCAUCAUUGACGCUGAGGCACGAAAGCGUGGGGAUCAAACAGGAUUAGAU
rnacentral:rRNA from 1 species